CUACGGACGCGUCCACAGCUGCCCGGGCCCUCACGCUGGCGGCAUGCGCUGUUGCGGGUUCCAGGUGAAAUAUCUGAGCAGUGUAUGGAGUUCCGACUACUGACCGCCUGGAGCACUUCGCAUUCUGAGAACGGGGACCGGCAAGAUACGCAGCUCUGAUCACUUCAACGGGUACUCAGAGCGUCACGAGCUCACAGCUUAUCGUGCACGCAUGGAUCUAGCAGAGCACUGGGAGAGCUGUCGUGAGCUAUAUUCUGCUGGCGCCCAUGACAUGGCAGCUUCGUGGCGCCAUCUACGGGCACCUUGUGAGCCUUCCUACCAACGCGUCAUGAAGUCGGUGUGCCUCUUCAUCUUUGGUAUACGCAAAGGUUGCCAACCUCGAUGUUGCGUCGGAUACUGUCCAGCCGCAGUGGCAAUCAGUCGCGUGCUGCAAGGUCACGACCUCAUCGGGAAUGCAGUUGUCGCAGCCUGCCUGCUGUCAUGAGGG